GUGGUUCUGGACCUGGGAAUGCGGUUCAGGACGCCUCCUACAAACACAGCUCUUCUCUGUUCUCUGCAGAUGUGCGGUCCUGGCGGGGCCUCAGCACUGAGUCUUCCAGACACUUUAACUGAUCUGACCCUCAGAAUGGCCCUCGGGGGUGGGGAGGGUAAUUGCCCCUGCAGGUGAGGAAACUGGGGCUCAGGGAGGAACCGAAGUGCCCCCAAGCCCAGGACUGCCCCCUACCCAGGCCUCCCGGCUGAUCACACAGCUUCCUCUGGCCGAGGUCCAGCCACACCAGCUUCUUCCCCGGCUCCUGUCAGUCCCCGUGGGGGCCAUGGGUAUUGGGCUCACAGGCCUGUCGGGCUUUCACUCCACACUGCACCCCGCCCCUCCCCGGGACUGCCGAUGCCCACAUCCUUCAGACCAGCACUUCUCAAGCCCUGAUGGGCCUGUGACUCCCCUGGGAACUUGUGAAAGAGCAGAUCCCGGUUUGGUGGGCGGAGCCGGAGGGGCUGCAUUUCUGACAAGUCCCCAGGAGGUCUCAGAGCCCCUUCUCUGCAGGCGGCUCUGGGUAGCAGGGCUGAUCCUAGCCUCGGCCAGACCAAGAGAGUCUGGACAGUGUCAGGAGACCUGGAUGCCCGCUCAGGGUGUCCUCCUCAUCUCCUGACUGUAAAUAAGUGUUAAUUACAUUUUCCUGGCUGGAAUUUCAUCUCCAUGAGGAUGGGGACUGUAACUAUCUCCUGCAUAUCUAUCUCCCCAACACCUGACCCAGGGCCUGGCACGUGAUAAAUGCUGAGCACCCGCUGAAUGAAUAAAGUGAGCAAGGGGAAGGAAUGCCUGAGCCAUCCCUGUCCUUCCCACCAAAGCGAUCCAUCGCCAACCCCCAAAAGAGACAUUUGGAGAGUUCUCCAUUGUUAUCACUCUAAUCUUAUCACCAAACCCAGAUCUUCCAGGAGAUCCAAAUCCCAGGCACCAACCCGUCUAGAAAGGAUUCAUAGAGAUCGUCUCUCAGGAACAGGAUGGCAGAGUUUAUCUUCCUUUGUGCACUUUCCAUAUUUUCUGAAGUCAAUGCAGAAAGCGAGGGCUGCUGCAGUGAUUCAAAGGACAUGGAAGCAUCCGUCUAAGCAGAUUCUCCCUCGGCCGCUUCUCCGCUGUCACUGCAGACGCCAGGCUGGCCGGGCUGUAGUCAACCAGCGUGUCCAGGGUCUCAGUUCCUGACUCUAAAGGAAGGCAGGGCUGCAAGUGACCGAGGCUCGCGCGGGCAUGAAUUCUCUCUAAAUCUGUCAUCUUCUCCAUGAGUUCCUUCUCAUCCCCAUCACUCCUGAGGAAUCCUGACCCUAUUCCUGUCGACCUCAUCUCUGUGGGUUCUUGCCAUCCUGAAUACCAUUCCAGGAGGCCCCUUUUCAGAGGAUGGAAUUUGUUACCUAAGGCCUGAGUAACAGACCGCUGAAGCUGAAACUCCAAUACUUUGGCCACCUGAUGCGAAGAACUGACUCAUUUGAAAAGACCCUGAUGCUGGGAAAGAUUGGAGGUGGGAAGAGAAGGGGCGGCAGCGGAUGAAAUGGUCCGAUGCCAUCACUGACUCAGUGGACACGAAUCUGAGCAAACUCCGGGAGAUGGUGCAGGACAGGGAACCGUGGCGUGCUGCAGUCCCUGGGGUCGCACAGAGCUGGACACCUCUCAGAGAUGGAACGACAGCAGUGGCGGACUUCUCUGCUGCAGCUGAGGUGCGUGCUUAAGCUCAAGUCACCGUUUUUUUUAACAUGACACCGAGAAAAAUGAAAGGAAAACCUGACUGUUUAAGACUGUUAGCCUUCGUCACAGCACUGAAUAACCCCAGUGGGAAGGGCUGCUGGAGUUUCAUACUCUUCCGUUGCUCCCAUUCAGUAAAUAAUGAUCAUUUGACAGUAAAAUGCUUGUUGGUUGUAAAGUUAUUCAUGCUCCGGGGCAGAGGUGCUGUUCUGAAUGUACCUGCAUGAGCUGCAUCCCACAACACGGACUCUGGGUUGGUACCCAGGCAACAUUUCAUCUGCACAACACGGACUCUGGGUUGGUACCCAGGCAACAUUUCAUCUGCACAACACGGACUCUGGGUUGGUACCCAGGCAACAUUUCAUCCCACAACACGGACUCUGGGUUGGUACCCAGGCAGCAUGUCAUCCCAUGAGCGAAUGAAAAGGAGAAGGAGGUCCUCCAGGCUUGUGCAAGAAAUCAGGGCCGGCGGUGGGGGGAGGUUUGGGCUGACAUUCGCUUCCUUUGACGUCUGCUCACGUCUACACACCCAGCACACCCUCUGCUUGGUGCGGACUCCAUCCACGCUCACCAUCAGCCACUGGGCACGAGGGGAGCGAGAAUUCCUAGUUAAGAAGACCAUGGCUGAAUUCCACUGCCCCUCACUUUACAGAGCCGACAUCUCUGUAAUAUGUGGACUAAGUUUCUAUAAAUUUGAUUAAAAUGAGCAGUAAUUUGCAUUUGGG
ensembl:lncRNA